GAUGAACGCUGGCGGCGUGCCUAAUACAUGCAAGUCGAGCGAACGGACGAGAAGCUUGCUUCUCUGAUGUUAGCGGCGGACGGGUGAGUAACACGUGGAUAACCUACCUAUAAGACUGGGAUAACUUCGGGAAACCGUAGCUAAUACCGGAUAAUAUUUUGAACCGCAUGGUUCAAAAGUGAAAGACGGUCUUGCUGUCACUUAUAGAUGGAUCCGCGCUGCAUUAGCUAGUUGGUAAGGUAACGGCUUACCAAGGCAACGAUGCAUAGCCGACCUGAGAGGCUGGUCGGCCACACUGGAACUGGGACAGGGACCAGACUCCUACGGGAGGCAGCAGUAGGGAACCUGACGCAAUGGGCGAAAGCCUGACGGAGCAACGCCGCGUGAGUGAUGAAGGUCUUCGGAGCGUAAAACUCGGUUAUUAGGGAAGAACAUAUGUGGAAGUAACUGUGCACAUCUUGACGGUACCUAAUCAGAAAGCCACGGCUAACUACGUG
rnacentral:rRNA from 1 species